UACGUAGGGUGCGAGCGUUGUCCGGAAUUAUUGGGCGUAAAGAGCUCGUAGGCGGUCUGUCGCGUCGGUCGUGAAAACCUGCAGCUUAACUGUGGGCGUGCGGUCGAUACGGGCAUGACUGGAGUUCGGCAGGGGAGACUGGAAUUCCUGGUGUAGCGGUGAAAUGCGCAGAUAUCAGGAGGAACACCGGUGGCGAAGGCGGAUCUCUGGGCCAUUACUGACGCUGAGGAGCGAAAGCGUGGGGAGCGAACAGG
rnacentral:rRNA from 1 species